UCGGCUUUGCCGUUAUUGGAUGAUUCAUAAUAAACGAACGGAGCGCAUGACUUGUGUCGGCGCUGUUUCAUUCAAGUUUCUGACCUAUCAGGUUCCGACGGUAGGGUAUUGGUCUACCGUGCCAUUGACGGGUAACGGAGAAUUAGGGUUCGAUUCCGGAGAGGGAGCCUUAAAAACGGCUACCACAUCUAAGGAAGGCAGCAGGCGCGCAAAUUACCCAAUCCCGACACGGGGAGGUAGUGACAAGAAAUAACACAAAGAGUGCUUUCUGCAUUUCUCUUUGGAAUGAGUAGAAUUUAAAUCUCUUUUCGAAUUCAAUUGGAGGGCAAGUCUGGUGCCAGCAGCCGCGGUAAUUCCAGCUCCAAUAGCGUGUAUUAAAGUUGUUGCGGUUAAAAAGCUCGUAGUUGGAUUUCUGUCGAGGAGCGCCGGUCCACACUUUGUGUGAGUAUCUGGUUGCGCCUUGGCAUCCUCAUGGGGAACGUUUCUGCGCUUGAUUGCGUGGAGCGGUAUUCAUGACUUUUACUUUGAGGAAAUUAGAGUGUUCACGGCAGGCAAACGCCUUGAAUACAUUAGCAUGGAAUAAUAAUAUAGGACUUUAGCCCUAUUUUGUUGGUUUCUAGAGCUAGAGUAAUGA
rnacentral:rRNA from 1 species